AGAGUUUGAUCCUGGCUCAGAACGAACGCUGGCGGCGUGCCUAACACAUGCAAGUCGAACGAGAAAGGGGCUUCGGCCCUGAGUAAAGUGGCGCACGGGUGAGUAACACGUAGGUAACCUGCCUCUAAGAUUGGGAUAACUCGUCUCAAAGAUGGGCUAAUACCAAAUAAGACCACAGUUUUUUCGGAAGCAGAGGUCAAAGGUAGCCUCUAUUUAUAAGCUAUCGCUUAGAGAUGGGCCUGCGCACCAUUAGCUAGUUGGUAGGGUAACGGCCUACCAAGGCAAAGAUGGUUAGCUGGGUCUGAGAGGAUGAUCAGCCACACUGGAACUGAAACCCGGUCCAGACUCCCUACGGGAAGGCAGCAGUGGGGAAAAUUGCGCAAUGGGGCAAAGGCUGAAGCAGCAACGCCCCCUGAAUGAUGAAGGCUUCGGGUCCUAAACUCUGUCGGAAGGAACGAAUGGUUUUCGGGUUAACAGCCCCGAAAGUGGCGUAUCCCUCCAAGGAAACACCGGGUAAUUCUGUGGCAGCAGCCGCGGGAAUACAGAAGGGGCUAGCGGUUGUUCUGAAACCUUGGGGCGGAAAGGGCGUGUAAGCGGGUUUGUAAAUCAUGUGUGGAAAUCCCUCCCGCUCACACGGGGAACGACACCACGAACUGGGCAGCUAUAGUAACACAGAGGGGGGUGGGAAUACUCUCGCGUAUCGGUGAAAAGCGUACAUAUCGGGAGGAGACACUGUGUCUGAGAGCGACCCUGGUUGGAUUCUGACCGUUGAUACCGGAAGGCGUUGGGAGCCAACCAGGAAUUAGAUACCUGUAUAGUCACGCUGUAACCGAUGGGCAUUAGGUGUCCGGGUAUUGACCCCUGGUGCCGCAGCUAACGCAUUAAGUGCCCGCCUUGGGGAGUACGGUCGCAAGAUAAACUCCAAAGAAUUGACCGGGUCCGCACAAGCGGUGGAGCAUGUGUCAAUUCGACGCACGCGAAGACUUACCUUGGGCUAGACACGGUGGACCGUCCUAGAAAUAGGAUUUUCCCUUCGGGGACUGCCGGUUCAGGUGCUGCAUGGCUGUCGUCAGCUCGUGCCGUGAGGUGUUGGGUUAAGUCCCGCAACGAGCGCAACCCUCGUCCUUUAGUUGCCACCAUUCAGUUGGGCACUCUAGGGAGACUGCCGGCGUUAAGCCGGAGGAAGGUGGGGACGACGUCAAGUCAUCAUGGCCCUUAUGUCCAGGGCCACACACGUGCUACAAUGGGCGGUACAAAGGGUUGCAAACCCGCGAGGGGGAGCUAAUCCCAAAAAGCCGCUCUCAGUUCGGAUUGGAGUCUGCAACUCGACUCCAUGAAGUUGGAAUCGCUAGUAAUCGCGGAUCAGCACGCCGCGGUGAAUACGUUCCCGGGCCUUGUACACACCGCCCGUCACACCAUGGAAGCCAGCUGUACCGGAAGUCGGUGCACCAACCCGCAAGGGAGGUAGCCGCCUAUGGUAUGACUGGUGACUGGGGUGAAGUCGUAACAAGGUAACC
rnacentral:rRNA from 1 species